GACGAACCGUGCGAACGUUUAUUCGGAAUCACUGGGCUUAAAGCGCGUGUAGGCGGGGCGGCACGUCGGUCGCUGAAAGCCCCCGGCUCAACCGGGGAACGGGCGCCGAUACGACCGCCCUCGAGGGACGUAGGGGGACCUGGAACUUCCGGUGGAGCGGUGAAAUGCGUUGAGAUCGGAAGGAACGCCCGUGGCGAAAGCGAGGUCCUGGACGUCUGCUGACGCUGAGACGGCGAAAGCCAGGGGAGCGAACGGG
rnacentral:rRNA from 1 species